rnacentral:sRNA from 1 species
UUUUAGCCCUGAUGGCAGCGGUAUCCUUUAUGUUUUUCCUUUAAAAAUAUAAAGAUAUAGCGAACAGCGGGAAAUAGC